rnacentral:rRNA from 1 species
GCUCGAUGAGUAGGGCGGGACACGUGGUAUCCUGUCUGAAUAUGGGGGGACCAUCCUCCAAGGCUAAAUACUCCUGACUGACCGAUAGUGAACCAGUACCGUGAGGGAAAGGCGAAAAGAACCCCGGCGAGGGGAGUGAAAAAGAACCUGAAACCGUGUACGUACAAGCAGUGGGAGCCUCUUUAUGGGGUGACUGCGUACCUUUUGUAUAAUGGGUCAGCGACUUAUAUUCUGUAGCAAGGUUAACCGAAUAGGGGAGCCGAAGGGAAACCGAGUCUUAACUGGGCGUUAAGUUGCAGGGUAUAGACCCGAAACCCGGUGAUCUAGCCAUGGGCAGGUUGAAGGUUGGGUAACACUAACUGGAGGACCGAACCGACUAAUGUUGAAAAAUUAGCGGAUGACUUGUGGCUGGGGGUGAAAGGCCAAUCAAACCGGGAGAUAGCUGGUUCUCCCCGAAAGCUAUUUAGGUAGCGCCUCGUGAAUUCAUCUCCGGGGGUAGAGCACUGUUUCGGCAAGGGGGUCAUCCCGACUUACCAACCCGAUGCAAACUGCGAAUACCGGAGAAUGUUAUCACGGGAGACACACGGCGGGUGCUAACGUCCGUCGUGAAGAGGGAAACAACCCAGACCGCCAGCUAAGGUCCCAAAGUCAUGGUUAAGUGGGAAACGAUGUGGGAAGGCCCAGACAGCCAGGAUGUUGGCUUAGAAGCAGCCAUCAUUUAAAGAAAGCGUAAUAGCUCACUGGUCGAGUCGGCCUGCGCGGAAGAUGUAACGGGGCUAAAC